UACAAUGGCGUGAACAGAGGGAGGCGAAGGGGUGACCUGGAGCAAACCCCAAAAAUAACGUCCCAGUUCGGACUGCGGCCUGCAACCCGGCCGCACGAAGCUGGAAUCGCUAGUAAUCGCGGAUCAGAAUGCCGCGGUGAAUACGUUCCCGGGUCUUGUACACACCGCCCGUCACACCAUGGGAGUCGGAAAUGCCCGAAGUCUGUGACCCAACCUUAGGGAGGGAGCAGCCGAAGGCAGGUCGGAUGACUGGGGUGAAGUCGUAACAAGGUACC
rnacentral:rRNA from 1 species